CGAGAAAGUGGAGCAAUCCAUGAGUAAAGUGGCGUACGGGUGAGUAACACGUGGAUCAUUUACCUUUUAGUGAGGAAUAACCAUGGGAAACCGUGGCUAAUACCGCAUAAGCUCGAGAGAGGAAAGUCGCAAGACGCUGAAAGAGGAGUCCGCGGCCGAUUAGCUAGUUGGCAGGGUAAAAGCCUACCAAGGCAAAGAUCGGUAGCCGGCCUGAGAGGGCACACGGCCACACUGGCACUGAAACACGGGCCAGACUCCUACGGGAGGCAGCAGUGGGGAAUCUUGCACAAUGGGGGAAACCCUGAUGCAGCGACGCCGCGUGAGCGAUGAAGCCCUUCGGGGUGUAAAGCUCUUUCGGCAGGGAAGAUAGUGACGGUACCUGCAGAAGCAGCUGCGGCUAACUACGUGCCAGCAGCCGCGGUAAUACGUAGGCAGCGAGCGUUGUUCGGAGUUACUGGGCGUAAAGGGUGUGUAGGCGGUUGUUUAAGUUUGGUGUGAAAUCUCCCGGCUCAACUGGGAGGGUGCGCCGAAUACUGAAUGACUUCGAGUGCGGGAGAGGAAAGUGGAAUUCCUGGUGUAGCGGUGAAAUGCGUAGAUAUCAGGAGGAACACCGGUGGUGUAGACGGCUUUCUGGACCGUAACUGACGCUGAGACACGAAAGCGUG
rnacentral:rRNA from 1 species